GAAACUCUGUACACUGCAAAGCGUCAUGUGAAAAACAUAUCCAAGUGUAACUCCAGAAUUGCUUCUGUCUGUGUCUCCCGGGAUGGCAGUAGACCCUGCUGGAAG